rnacentral:rRNA from 1 species
ACCUAUGGUUUCACUGGACUGAAUGCACCUGAUCCUAGCUGAUCUUGGAAGCUAAGCUGUCAUGGGCCUGACUAGUACUGGGAUGGGAGACUGCCUGGGAAUCCUGGGUGCCAUAAGUU